AUCUCCAUCUCCAUCUCCAUCUCCUUCGGUGUUGACAAGUAGGGUAGAAAAUGGAGCCAUGGCUCAGUCUACAUAACCCUUCAUCCAGUUAUUGAGUACAAAAAUAUGCUACAUAUGUAAGUUAUUGUUUGAUUUGUGAAAUUGGUGGGCAAGCUUCUGAGUAAUUGGAUGUGAGGAAAUAGGAAGCAACAACUAGUUCUUAGUGGUAUUGGUAUCCAUAUAUGGAAAUAUUAGAUGAUACUGUAUGCAUGAUGUAUAUUCUGGGAUUACUUGUUGAGAAGAUGCUUUAUAUGCAUAGUUUCUAAUCAUACUUGUACUGUUGUACACUGAAUGUGCAUCUUUCCAAUUAAAGUUUUGAGUAUAUGAAUGCAUAUAUAGAUCCACAUACUUUUUAUAAAGGUCUGUGGCAUAAUUUCAGGCUGGCCAAGAAUCCUUUAGAUCCAUCACUAGAUCAUACUACAGAGGAGCAGCUGGAGCACUUCUGGUUUACGACAUUACGAGGUAAAGUUAUUGUAGGAAGAGGUAAAGUGAUACACUUUGUUGCCUGCCCUUCCUAUUGUGGGGCUUAUUAGGCCAAGAUUAUGACUUUUGUUGUACUAUAUUGGAAACUUCUUUAAGGAAAGCUCCAUAUGUCCAAAAUGUGGGAUACAUGGAUAACUGGACUCGUAAUACUAUCAGUUCUGAAAAUUGAAUGUGCUCAUGUACACAUGGCCCAUGUUACCCCAGAAUCUUACAACUACCGAGUCAGAUGAAGCUAAUAUAUUUGUUUCCCAACUAAAUGUGGGAUGUGAUGCAGGAGAGAAACAUUUAAUCACUUAGCAAGCUGGCUAGAGGAUGCUCGGCAGCAUGCAAAUCCCAACAUGACAAUCAUGCUUAUAGGGAACAAAUGUGAUCUUUCUCACCGGAGGGCUGUCAGCAAAGAGGAAGGAGAACAGUUUGCCAAGGAAAAUGGACUUUUAUUCUUGGAGGCUUCUGCAAGAACAGCUCAAAAUGUUGAGGAGGCGAGUUCAAAUUUGCCAUAGAUUCGUAUUUAUAAAUUCAGUUAAAUAUUCUGAAGUUAAAAUUCCCAUUUUUCAGUAUUAUACCAACUAAUAUACUAAAAUUUUGUUUUGUAGGCCUUUAUAAGGACUGCAGGAAAGAUCCUUCAGAAUAUCCAGGAAGGCGUGUUUGAUGUAUCCAAUGAGGUAAUCUUUGAGUUCACUUUGUUUUCUCCUGCCUGCCUCACAUCACAUGUGCUGGGGGAGUGACGUUUCAUUUUAUUGUAGGACAAAAUAUGUGAUAAUGAGCCUUGAAUUAUUAUUCUUUUUUCUUAAUAAUUUGUUAUAUCUUAUAAGUUCCAAGCCUCCAAAGGCAAAGGUCCUGGAUAGGGUAUCGUGGAUGUGUGUUAGUUGCCAGCUUUUCCUGUGUGAAGUAGAAACUAUGUCCAAGUGUUUGGUAGUCUGAGCAUCUUGUAAGUUACAGAUUGUCUCGCAUGUCUUUGAUGCAAGCCAAAUCAUGCAUUAUUUCUUGUUUUGUGUUGAUUUGAUUAUCUACUGGGUGGAGUUGUGGAAGGUUAGGGUUUUCGGUUGCCAAGCCAUGGCUAUCAUAUAUAAUGCAGCAUCAGGAAUUUGCUGUUUCUACACUUCUAUGACCUUGCAUUUCUUCUUGCAACAAAAAUUGAUUCUUCUUUUAUGACACCAUUGUGGUUAUGAUUGCAGUCUUCGGGUAUCAAGGUUGGAUAUGGACGCCCCCAGGGCUCAUCAGGCGCAAGAGAUGGAACUGUUGCUCAGAGAGGAGGAUGUUGUGGCUAAUUGAAACACAAACAUAACCUGUAUUAUAUUUUUUUCAUUUUCCCCAUACAUGAAUAUAUGCUUAGAACUGUUAAAUGACUUCUGGUUGACAUUUAAUGUAUAGAUCCAACAUCUGUUGUUCUUUGACUAAAUUGAAUUUAAUUGAUAGGAAUUCAAGUCUUUUGAGUGCUUGAAAGUUUCCUGAGUCAGCACUGUUGUGUUUCUUAUGUUCCGAAUCAGUUGUGAUCAUAUAUAUACACUAGAAUAAUGCCUGGCAGGAUAUAAAUAGUAAUGUUUUCAAAAUUUAUUAAUUUAGAAUUUAC
rnacentral:misc_RNA from 1 species